CGAGUUUGAUCAUGGCUCAGAACGAACGCUGGCGGCGCGUCUUAAACAUGCAAGUCGAACGAUCUGUAGCAAUACAGGGAGUGGCGGACGGGUGAGGAACACGUAGGAAUCUACCUAGAAGAGCGGGACAACUUUGGGAAACCGGGGCUAAUACCGCAUAGUACAGAGAUGUUAAAGGGCUAGCAAUAGUCGCUUCUAGAUGAGCCUGCGGUCUAUCAGCUUGUUGGUGAGGUAAUGGCUCACCAAGGCUACGACGGAUAGCCGGUCUGAGAGGAUGAUCGGCCACACUGGCACUGAGACACGGGCCAGACUCCUACGGGAGGCAGCAGUUAAGAAUCUUGCGCAAUGGGGGAAACCCUGACGCAGCGACGCCGCGUGAAGGAUGAAGGCUUUCGGGUUGUAAACUUCGGUAGACUGGGAAGAAGAACUACGUUCGUUGAGGGCGUAGAGUGACGGUACCAGUCUGAAGCCCCGGCUAAUUACGUG
rnacentral:rRNA from 1 species